rnacentral:lncRNA from 1 species
AUGUGGGUGUGCAGGAGGGAAGAGCUCCCAUCUCCGGGGAUCUUCCAUGACAUUCUCCAUGACAGCAGGCCAACAGGAAGCAGCAGAACCUUCAUGACAAAGCAUUGGAGGUGCUGCUUCUAGUGUGAAUCCUGUCAUGGAUAGGACCAUGUAUCCUGUACACUCUCCAGGUGCCCAGUGAAUAUGAGCUUCUCUGAACUGACUGAAGACCACAAGAUGAAAACUGGAAACUCUCAGCCUUCAUACAACAAGGCAUCUGGUAUGGAAGCGUUCAGUGCGGCCUUUUCUGGCUGAUACACUCACCAUGGACCUUGCUAUCCCUGAGCUGGAACCGUAAUGGAUGUGCAUGAGUUUGUCUCCAAGCUUGUAAAAAAUGGGCUUUUGCA